rnacentral:rRNA from 1 species
CACGUAGGGUGCGAGCGUUGUCCGGAAUUAUUGGGCGUAAAGAGCUCGUAGGCGGUGUGUCGCGUCGGCCGUGAAAACCUGCAGCUUAACUGUGGGCUUGCGGUCGAUACGGGCAUCACUGGAGUUCGGCAGGGGAGACUGGAAUUCCUGGUGUAGCGGUGAAAUGCGCAGAUAUCAGGAGGGAACACCGGUGGCCGAAGGCGG